CCGGCCAAUGCAAUGGUUGCUGCUGAUCGUUUGCUAGAUGACCCUUCUCCUCUAUUUUCUCCUCCAGUUUCUUGCUCUCCUCAGUGGAUCCAUCCUCCUUCUCACCAGUCUUCCAGCUGCCUUGCCUUUUAACACAAAUCAGCCAGUAUGCUAGACCCACAACUACAGUGGCCAGGAGCAGACCAACAAUAACACCCACCACCAAC